rnacentral:misc_RNA from 1 species
GAAAGAAUAAGAGAGUGGAAGAAGCAUGACAGAGAGACAAGAGGGUUCUUUUACUGUGCUUAAUAACAGCAAAAGUGUAUCCUUCUGUAGCAUAAUAUAAUAAUAAUAAUAGACAAAAUUAAAAGGUGAGGCUAAAAUCGACGCAUGUUUAACUUUCGAAUUUUUUAGGCCUAAAAAUAAAAUUAUCAGAGUUGUGUAGAGAUUGCUGGGUGCAUUAAAAUACAAUUUCUGAUCAUGUUUACGACAAAAGCAUCAUGGUUAACGCUUAAGGUACAAAGGAAACAUCAGCUUUAAGCUUAUCUUUGAUCUAUUGAUGGUCAUCAGCAACGAUAAUAUCAUCAUCAUCAUCACGAUAAAUACCCUCAUCCAUUUGCCACACUUGCAGAGUGUUGUCAUCAGCUACACUUGAAAUGACCCAGGGCUCAUUUUUGUUCCAUGAAAAAUCUGAGAUCUUAGCCUUGUGACCACCAUGAGAGAAAAGAAGUUCAGGAGGGCCAUCAUCAGCAUCUAACUCUAAUUGCUCCUCUCCAAUCCUGUUCAGAUCCCAAACAUUAACCCUUCUGUCAUCAGCAGUAGAUGCUAGUACCGUUUCAUGAUUAGGGUCCCACUCCACCUGGAAGACCUCUUCUGUGUGACCACUUAAAACAUGCAAAGGCACAGUCAGCUUCCGCAUAUCAAACAGGCCAACAGUAGCGUCUGAGGAUGCUGUAGCAAGAAUCCAUUCAUUAUAAGCAUUGAAAGAAAGAUAGUUAACCUCCUUUUCAUGAGCCUUAACAGAAUGUUGGGCUUGAUUUGUGCGCAAGUCCCAGAUCAUUAAUAGACAAUCAUCACCCACAGAACCAAAUAAAUUCUCGUUCUUCAAGUGCCACGACACGUCUUCAACAACACUUUCAUGAGACUCAUAAACAUGCAUAGCAUCAAGCGCUUUAUCUAGAGCAGUAGCAGACAAAUCCCACAAACAUAUUUUAUGAUCAUGUGAACCGCUGACAAGAUAACCCUGCUUAAAGGGACUCCAAGACAACCCAUAUCCUUCUUUAUCAUGACCCCUCAACCUCAAAUCAGGAUCACAACCAUCCUGCCGUUGCUUCUCAGCCUGUUUGGUAGAAUCAAACACAUAAGCCUCACAACCACUCGUCUUUACAGCAACAAUAGCUGGGUUCUGAGGCAUACACCGUGCACGAUUCACCUCUCCAUCAACACGUAUCUUCUGAGUUAUUUGCACCUUAGGAAUCAAAGAACUUUCAGAUUGGCAAUCAAUCUUGGCUUCAGCUGUGCGGCUAGGCAGGACGGCGUCAGCAAUCAUGAGGAAGUUGGGGAAAUCAUCGGACGUAUGGGUUCCAAGGACCAGCCUGUGUACAGCGAAAGAAGAAGGAGCGGCGGGAUGAGGAAGUGGGGCCGAGAGGGGAACCCAUUGGACAGUGAGAGACGGCCACUCGAGAGGAUGAGAGAUGACAAGGUCAUAGAGGAAUGGGGUGUUCUUCUUCCAUACUGAGAAUUCCUCCUCCAGCUGUUCUGGGCCUAGCUCUUGCUCUUCUGCUGCUGCCAUUGUUUGGGGACUUCAACAGUAUGUUUGAGGGGGAACAAUAAGAGGCGGAUGAAAAAUGGGCGAUUUGAUGUUUUGGGGCGUUGAAUUCGGCUUUCUGAGGGGUAUGGUUUCCCGCCAAAAUGAUGAAGAGGGCAAGAA